UACGGGGGGGGGCAAGCGUUGUUCGGAAUUACUGGGCGUAAAGGCUCGUAGGCGGCCAACUAAGUCAGACGUGAAAUCCCUCGGCUUAACCGGGGAACUGCGUCUGAUACUGGAUGGCUUGAAUCCGGGAGAGGGAUGCGGAAUUCCAGGUGUAGCGGUGAAAUGCGUAGAUAUCUGGAGGAACACCGGUGGCGAAGGCGGCAUCCUGGACCGGUAUUGACGCUGAGUGAGCGAAAGCCAGGGGAGCAAACGGG
rnacentral:rRNA from 1 species